rnacentral:tRNA from 1 species
ACCUGGGUGGUGUAAAUGGUUAACACAUUUGGUUGCCAUCCAAAAGGUUGGAGGUUCAAAUCCACCCACAGGUG